rnacentral:misc_RNA from 1 species
GAGUUGUCUUUUGACCUAAAUGUCUAUUAAAAAUAAAUGAUAUUAAACUUUGAAAAUACCAUGAAAAUUAAAAUUGUGAUACUUUAUAGAAAAAGUAAAAGAAAUGAGGUCAAAUGUGGAAAUUGUGAAACUUGGGAUUAUUAACUCUUAAAUAAUAGUUAGUGCUCCACUAACUUAUUUUGUAUAACACAUAUGUAAGCCAUCUGGGACAGAUUUCUUCCACUAACUCCAUCUUCAUCUUCUACCUUUUCUCCAAGUCGAACCAAGCUCUCAAAUUGUCAUCCAUGGCCGCCCACCUUUCAAACCUCCAUGCACUCCUCAUUUAGCCAUUGUUUCCACUAGAGCUCUUCAUUAAAGUUGGAGUAUACACCUUGGGCAGCAGUUUGGGAGCAAGAAGGGAGAGAUUUGAAGAGGUUUGACAAGUUCCACUUGAGGUACAUGUCCAUUUCUUCAUCCUUUCUUCAUUAAAGCUUGUGUGGGUGUUGUGGUGAGUUGAUUUAUGGAAGAAAUGUUGAGGUUUGAUGAGUUAUUGAAGUGUACCAUUUUGGGCAGCCAUGGAAGUGAAAGGUAAGUGAUUUGUUCUUAUAUGAAUUUGAUGGGUAAUGAAGUUAAUUAAAGUGCUUAAAUAUAUAAGAGUUUGAUUUUUAUGUAUAUGUGUGAAUUGUGAAUGUAAAGUGAGAUCACAUGUUGAAAUUGGGAAGCUUGAUGUAUAUGAACAAUUUGGGAAGCCUUAUGGUGAAGUUGGAAGUGUUUAAAUUCAUGAAAGGUUUGUUGAAUUAUGGUACUAAAAGUGACAGCAUAUGUGUAUGAUUUAGUAGAGAAUAAAUGAAUAAUUUGAUGAUGGAAGUUAUGUGUAGUAAUUAA